rnacentral:rRNA from 1 species
UACGUAGGGGGCAAGCGUUGUCCGGAUUUAUUGGGCGUAAAGAGCGUGUAGGCGGCCCGGUAAGUCCGCUGUGAAAGUCGGGGGCUCAACCCUCGAAUGCCGGUGGAUACUGUCGGGCUAGAGUGCGGAAGAGGCGAGUGGAAUUCCUGGUGUAGCGGUGAAAUGCGCAGAUAUCAGGAGGAACACCAAUUGCGAAGGCAGCUCGCUGGGACGUCACUGACGCUGAGACGCGGAAGCGUGGGGAGCAAACAGG